GACGAACGCUGGCGGCGUGCUUAACACAUGCAAGUCGAACGGAAAGGCCCUGCUUUUGUGGGGUGCUCGAGUGGCGAACGGGUGAGUAACACGUGAGUAACCUGCCCUUGACUUUGGGAUAACUUAAGGAAACUGGGGCUAAUACCGGAUAGGAGCUCCUGCUGCAUGGUGGGGGGUGGAAAGUUUCAGCGGUUGGGGUUGGACGCGCGGCUUAUCAGCUUGUUGGUGGGGUAGUGGCUUACCAAGGCUUUGACGGGUAGCCGGCCUGAGAGGGUGACCGGCCACAUUGGGACUGAGAUACGGACCAGUCGCCUACGGGAGACAGCAGUGGGGAAUAUGGCACAAUGGGCGGAAGCCUGAUGCAGCAACGCCGCGUGCGUGAUGACGGCCUUCUGGUUGUAAACCGCUUUCGCCUGUGACGAAGCGGUAGUGACGGUAAUGAGUAAAGAAGCACCGGCUAACUACGUG
rnacentral:rRNA from 1 species